GAUGAACGCUGGCGGCGUGCCUAAUACAUGCAAGUCGAGCGAACAGACGAGGAGCUUGCUCCUCUGACGUUAGCGGCGGACGGGUGAGUAACACGUGGAUAACCUACCUAUAAGACUGGGAUAACUUCGGGAAACCGGAGCUAAUACCGGAUAACAUGUUGAACCGCAUGGUUCAACAGUGAAAGACGGUCUUGCUGUCACUUAUAGAUGGAUCCGCGCCGCAUUAGCUAGUUGGUAAGGUAACGGCUUACCAAGGCAACGAUGCGUAGCCGACCUGAGAGGGUGAUCGGCCACACUGGAACUGAGACACGGUCCAGGGUCCUACGGGAGGCAGCAGUAGGGAAUCUUCCGCAAUGGGCGAAAGCCUGACGGAGCAACGCCGCGUGAGUGAAGAAGGUCUUCGGAUCGUAAAACUCUGUUAUUAGGGAAGAACAAAUGUGUAAGUAACUAUGCACGUCUUGACGGUACCUAAUCAGAAAGCCACGGCUAACUACGUG
rnacentral:rRNA from 1 species